AGAGUUUGAUCCUGGCUCAGGAUGAACGCUAGCGGCAGGCUUAACACAUGCAAGUCGAGGGGUAUAGUUCUUCGGAACUAGAGACCGGCGCACGGGUGCGUAACGCGUAUGCAAUCUACCUUUCACAGAGGGAUAGCCCAGAGAAAUUUGGAUUAAUACCUCAUAGUAUAAUUGAAUGGCAUCAUUUAAUUAUUAAAGUCACAACGGUGAAAGAUGAGCAUGCGUCCCAUUAGCUUGUUGGUAAGGUAACGGCUUACCAAGGCGACGAUGGGUAGGGGUCCUGAGAGGGAGAUCCCCCACACUGGUACUGAGACACGGACCAGACUCCUACGGGAGGCAGCAGUGAGGAAUAUUGGUCAAUGGGCGCAAGCCUGAACCAGCCAUGCCGCGUGCAGGAUGACGGUCCUAUGGAUUGUAAACUGCUUUUGUACAGGAAGAAACACUGGUUCGUGAACCAGCUUGACGGUACUGUAAGAAUAAGGAUCGGCUAAC
rnacentral:rRNA from 1 species